AGUGAACGCUGGCGGCAGGCCUAACACAUGCAAGUCGAACGGCAGCACAGUAAGAGCUUGCUCUUACGGGGGGCGAGUGGUGGACGGGUGAGGAAUACAUCGCAAUCUACUUCUUCGUGGGGGAGAACGCAGGGAAACUCACGCUAAUACGGCAUACGACCUACGGGUGAAAUCAGGGGAUCUUCGGACCUUGCGCGAGUGAACGAGCCGAUGUCGGAUUAGUUAGUUGGCGGGGUACAGGCCCACCAACGCGGCGAUCCGUAGCUGGUCUGAGAGGGUGAACAGCCACACUGGGGGUGAGGCGCGGUCCAGACUCCUAGAGGAGGCAGCAGUGGAGAAUAUUGGACGAUGGGGGCAAGCCUGAUCCAGCGGUACCGGGUGGAUGCAGAGGGCCUUCGGGUUGUAGAACCCUUUUGUUGGGAGAGAAGAGCAGCGGGUUAAUAGCCGGCUAUUCUGACGGUACCCAGAGAAGAAGCACCGGCUAACUUCGUG
rnacentral:rRNA from 1 species